CGGUGGCAUUCACACACGCCUCUCCCACGCUCUCCCACACCGCGCCCCUCUCACUCUCCCAACCCAGUGGUGAGCUUAGAAGAGAGAGAGAGAGAGAGACAAGACUACUCAGCUCACCCGGGAUAUUAGUGUAGCAAGUGGCCGCGUUUACAGAUUCUGUUUUUAAGUGUUAGUGAUGUGAACGAAUCUUAUUUCCCCCCUCGUAAACAAGUAAACAGUCAUCUAUUUACACUUUAGGAUGGUAACUAUGGGCGUGAGAGGCCGCGUCGACCAUAGGCCAUGAAGCGACCCCCGAGCCGCCCACGGCCACCCACCACCACUACCACUACCCCGCCCACGCCGCCCACCAACCCAGCAUGGGUGGUGGCCUGCCGCCUCCUGCUCAUCUUGCUGGUGGCGGGCGG